CCCUUAGAUGUUCUGGGCUGCACACGCGCUACACUGAAGGGAUCAGCGUGUUCUUUUCCUGGUCCGAAAGGAUCGGGUAACCCGCUGAACCCCCUUCGUGGUAGGGAUCGGAGCUUGCAAUUAUUCUCCGUGAACCAGGAAUUCCCAGUAAGCGCAAGUCAUAAGCUUGCGUUGAUUACGUCCCUGCCCUUUGUACACACCGCCCGUCGCUCCUACCGAUUGAAUGGUCCGGUGAAGCGUUCGGACCGUGGCCUUUGGACGGUUCGCCGUCUGUUGGCUGCGGGAAGUUCGUUAAACCUUAUCAUUUAGAGGAAGGAGAAGUCGUAACA
rnacentral:rRNA from 1 species